rnacentral:lncRNA from 1 species
GAGUGUUGAGAAUUUUGAACACAUACACAUUUGUGUAUUUCAUACACUUCAGAUGCCUUUUGAAAAGAGUUCUACUUAAUUGGUGAGAGUUGAUAGCAACAAGAGCCCAUGUCUGCUUGCCAUCAAUAUUCUCAAUAGUAAUUACUUCUUGGAAAUCUGUCUUGUACUCAGUACCAUCAUCAUUCUAAUAUAAAUAGAGUGGGUUGGCGUAUAUGAAGAAAAUAAUUUUAUUUACUAAAUAUCAACUCAUACGUUUUACUUUUACCACUAGAAUCAGAAUUCAAGCUAUCAAUCAUUAUGGACUAAGCCCUUUUAGCCCAUCAAUAAGAUGCAAAACCAAACCACUGCCACCAGAGCCUCCACAGCUUAAUUGUGUGGUCUAUGGACACCAGAGUCUCAGACUCAAAUGGGGCACAGUCUCCAGCAAAAAGUCACGUGCG